rnacentral:rRNA from 2 species
UUCGUGACUGGGGUGAAGUCGUAACAAGGUAGCCGUAUCGGAAGGUGCGGCUGGAUCACCUCCUUUCUAGA